rnacentral:rRNA from 1 species
CGUAGGGUGCGAGUGUUAAUCGGAAUUACUGGGCGUAAAGCGUGCGCAGGCGGUUUUGUAAGACAGGCGUGAAAUCCCCGGGCUCAACCUGGGAACUGCGUUUGUGACUGCAAGGCUAGAGUAUGGCAGAGGGGGUGGAAUUCCACGUGUAGCAGUGAAAUGCGUAGAGAUGUGGAGGAACACCGAUGGCGAAGGCAGCCCCCUGGGCCAAUACUGACGCUCAUGCACGAAAGCGUGGGUAGCAAACAGGAUUAGAUACCCUGGUAGUCCACGCCCUAAACGAUGUCAACUAGGUGUUGGGUGGGUAAAACCAUUUAGUACCGGAGCUAACGCGUGAAGUUGACCGCCUGGGGAGUACGGCCGCAAGGUUG